CCUACGGGAGGCAGCAGUGGGGAAUUUUGGACAAUGGGCGCAAGCCUGAUCCAGCAAUGCCGCGUGAGUGAAGAAGGCCUUCGGGUUGUAAAGCUCUUUUGUCAGGGAAGAAACGGUGGGGGCUAAUAUCUCCUGCUAAUGACGGUACCUGAAGAAUAAGCACCGGCUAACUACGUGCCAGCAGCCGCGGUAAUACGUAGGGUGCAAGCGUUAAUCGGAAUUACUGGGCGUAAAGCGUGCGCAGGCGGUUUUGUAAGUUUGUCGUGAAAUCCCCGGGCUCAACCUGGGAAUGGCGAUGAAGACUGCAAGGCUAGAAUCUGGCAGAGGGGGGUAGAAUUCCACGUGUAGCAGUGAAAUGCGUAGAGAUGUGGAGGAACACCGAUGGCGAAGGCAGCCCCCUGGGUCAAGAUUGACGCUCAUGCACGAAAGCGUGGGGAGCAAACAGGAUUAGAUACCCUGGUAGUCCACGCCCUAAACGAUGUCUACUAGUUGUUACGGGUUUUAAUUAACGUUGGUAACGCAGCUAACGCGUAGAAGUAGACCGCCGUGGGGAGUACGGUCGCAAGAUUAAAACGUUAAAGGAAUUGGACCGGCGUGAGACGUGCCGACGGACGACGACGACGGGAGGUUAGG
rnacentral:rRNA from 1 species